GAACGAUGAUGAGCACUUAUCCCGAAGCUGAACCUGGUUUGAUGAAUACUCUUUAUGGAUCUGACUGCUGAGUU